AGUGAACGCUGGCGGUAGGCCUAACACAUGCAAGUCGAACGGCAGCACAGUAAGAGCUUGCUCUUACGGGUGGCGAGUGGCGGACGGGUGAGGUAUACAUCGGAAUCUACUUUUUCGUGGGGGAUAACGUAGGGAAACUUACGCUAAUAUCGCAUACGACCUUCGGGUGAAAGCAGGGGAUCUUCGGACCGUUCGCGAUUGAAUGAGCCGAUGUCGGAUUGGCUAGUUGGCGGGGGAAAGGCCCACCAAGUGGACGAUCCGUAGCUGAUCUGAGAGGAUGGUCAGCCACACUGGAACUGAGACACGGUCCAGACUCCUACGGGAGGCAGCAGUGGGGAAUAUUGGACAAUGGGCGCAAGCCUGAUCCAGCCAUACCGCGUGGGUGAAGAAGGCCUUCGGGUUGUAAAGCCCUUUUGUUGGGAAAGAAAAGCAGCAGGUUAAUACCCCGCUGUUCUGACGGUACCCAAAGAAUAAGCACCGGCUAACUUCGUG
rnacentral:rRNA from 1 species